UGGGGAAUCUUGCRMAASGGSCSAAAGCCYGACGCAGCAACGCCGCGUGCGGSAWKWARGCUUUCGGGCUGUAAACCGCUUUCASCAGGAACGAAAAUGACGGUACCUGCAGAASAAGGAGCGGCCAACUAUGUGCCAGCAGCCGCGGUGAUACAUAGGCUUCAAGCGUUGUCCGGAUUUAUUGGGCGUAAAGAGUUCGUAGGCGGUCGAGUAAGUCGGGUGUGAAAAUUCUGGGCUUAACCCAGAGACGCCACCCGAUACUGCUUAACUUGAGUUCGAUAGGGGAGUGGGGAAUUCCUAGUGUAGCGGUGAAAUGCGCAGAUAUUAGGAGGAACACCGGUGGCGAAGGCGCCACUCUGGAUCGAUACUGACGCUGAGGAACGAAAGCAUGGGUAGCAAACAGGAUUAGAUACCCUGGUAGUCCAUGCCGUAAACGGUGGGCACUAGGUGUGGGAUUCUAUUAACGAAUUCCGCGCCGUCGCUAACGCAUUAAGUGCCCCGCCUGGGGAGUACGGUCGCAAGACUA
rnacentral:rRNA from 1 species